UUUGAAUAAAGAAUACUGCAGAAACGUUUGAUAAUUAAGACAAAGACUUGAGCAAGGAAGUUUAAAAUAUAGUUAUAGUAUAUUCUCACAAAAUGGUGAACAGAUUGUUCAAGGAAUUUUUAGACAUUUCUGAAAAUCCUCCACCAGGUAUUUCUCCAGGUCCAAUUGACGGUGACAGACAGAAGUCCAUACGCUGGAGGGGUAUUUUGUGUACAUAUACGGUUUCGAAGUGAUUAUCCUUUCAAACCUCCUAUGAUAUCUUUGAAAACAAAUAUAUACCAUUUAAACAUGUUGAAUAGUGGUGAAAAUUUUGGUCUUAUUUGUGUAGAUCAUCUGCGGUCACAUUGGUCGCCAGCGUCAAGAGUAUCAGAAAUAUUACUGAGUAUAGUAGCGUUGUUAGCUUCUCCAAAUCCUGAGUGUCGAUUUAACAAAGAAGCUGCAGAUUUAUAUAAACUAGAUAGAAACAAAUACAAUGAAAUAGCGGCGGAAUGGACACGAAAAUAUGCCAUGUAACAUGGUCAUCAGACAUGUUAUAUAGAUCGUUUUCCUUUAAUUUUGUUUUACGAAAUAUAGACAUAAGUUUUCGUUUUAGGACUUUUUACAAGUUAUGAAAUUUCUGUAUCAUGAGCGGAAUAUAUUAUUUUUUUGGUUAAUUUUUAAAAAGUAUAUUUGCUUGUUUAUUGUGAUAAAAUAUCAAUUAUAUGCAUAUAAAAUUUAAGUUUCA